rnacentral:rRNA from 1 species
CCUACGGGAGGCAGCAGUGAGGAAUAUUGGUCAAUGGUCGUGAGACUGAACCAGCCAAGCCGCGUGAGGGAUGAAGGUACAGAGUAUCGUAAACCUCUUUUGUCAGGGAACAAAGGCGGGGACGUGUCCCCGGAUGAGUGUACCUGAAGAAAAAGCAUCGGCUAACUCCGUGCCAGCAGCCGCGGUAAUACGGUGGAUGCGAGCGUUAUCCGGAUUUAGUGGGUUUAAAGGGUGCGCAGGCGGUCUGUUAGGUCAGCGGACAAAGCCCGGGGCGAAACCCCGGCCCGCCGUUGAAACUGGCAGUCUCGAGUUGGAGAGAAGUAUGCGGAAUGCGCGGUGUAGCGGUGAAAUGCAUAGAUAUCGCGCAGAACUCCGAUUGCGAAGGCAGCAUGCCGGCUCCACACUGACGCUGAGGCACGAAAGCGUGGGUAUCGAACAGGAUUAGAUACCCCUGUAGUC